GGGGAUGUAGCUUAGUAGUAGAGGUCUUGCCUAGUAAGCAUGAGACCCUAGGUUCAAUCCCAGCACUACCA
rnacentral:tRNA from 1 species